rnacentral:rRNA from 1 species
CCUACGGGUGGCAGCAGUGAGGAAUAUUGGUCAAUGGGCGGAAGCCUGAACCAGCCAAGUCGCGUGAGGGAUUAAGGCCCUGCGGGUCGUCAACCUCUUUUGCCGGGGAGCAGUGGUCCGGACGUGUCCGGGCCGGGAGAGUACCCGGAGAAAAAGCAUCGGCUAACUCCGUGCCAGCAGCCGCGGUAAUACGGAGGAUGCGAUGGUUAUCCGGAUUUAUUGGGUUUAAAGGGUGCGUAGGCGGGCAUUUAAGCCGGCGGUCAAAUGUCGGGGCGUAACCCCGGCCUGCCGUCGGAACUGGGUGCCUUGAGUGGGCGAGAAGUAUGCGGAAUGCGUGGUGUAGCGGUGAAAUGCAUAGAUAUCACGCAGAACCCUGAUUGCGAAGGCAGCAUACCGGCGCCCUACUGACGCUGAGGCACGAAAGUGCGGGUAUCGAACAGGAUUAGAUACCCCUGUAGUC